GAACAUCUGAGACAGAUAGCUGAACCACAUUUGUGGUGAUGAAAGGUUUGGUCAGAAAAGGAGGCUGGGCUGUCGUGUCAUGAGAGAGCCACAAUUCUUCAAACAUAUUUAACUGCUGGAGAGAAUGGCUCAGAAUCCCAGGUAUCAGCUUCAGCACACAACCAAACAAAGAAAAAAACAGCGAAUCUGACAAAAGCAGGAUGAAGAAUAAAAGAGAAGAGAAGAAAUUAAAGAAAUAGGAAGCAGUUAUGAUGAUUAACAAGACUAACAACUAGUUCAAAGAAAAGAAAGCACUAAUAAAUUAGAAAAACAUCUGGAAAACUGGUCAAGUGAAAGACAAAGAAUGUAAAAGAAAAUAUUAUGAGGAACAUGGGGUCAAAUAAUAGAUAUCAUCUCUUUUACCCUACAAGUCCAAAGAGAACAUGAUGAUCAAUUUUAUGACUGUGUUUAGACAUAUUGGAUUAUUUAAAAUAAAAUUU
rnacentral:lncRNA from 1 species